UUGUUAAUUCAUUGGUCAUCUGAUACAACAGUUCAGUAUGAAGCCCACUGAAGAACACCCUACAAGAAUUUAUACGGAUUAUUGGCGGUUUUUGCAGCUGUUGCAAAGUUCUGCUAUUGGGGAUAUGAGGAAAGUGAAGAAAGAUAGUGAGGGUAGGUGAGGUAACGACGGAAAGGUUUCAUUGUAUCAUUUGGUUCUUGCGAUUUGGUUUGAUUUCGUCUUCGCUAUUGUCUUCGUUCUCUGAUUCAGUUGUUGGUGGUUUUUUUAUUGUGGUUGUCUGUUGGAGUGAACUAGCGAUGUUUGAGGAGGCACUAUUUGAGGAGGUUGCUCAACAUUUUUUAAUUAUGCAAUGAACAAGCUUAAGAAGGUGGGUUUAUGGGUAAAUUCAUCUUUUCAUCUUCUUCGCUCACGGUCUACAUCGUUAUCCAAUCUACUACAUGAAUCUGUCAAAGCUGUUCCUAUCGGUGAUGCAU